rnacentral:rRNA from 1 species
GGGAUUGCCUUAGUAACGGCGAGUGAAGCGGCAAAAGCUCAAAUUUGAAAUCUGGCACCUUCGGUGUCCGAGUUGUAAUUUGAAGAAGGUAACUUUGGAGUUGGCUCUUGUCUAUGUUCCUUGGAACAGGACGUCACAGAGGGUGAGAAUCCCGUGCGAUGAGAUGCCCAAUUCUAUGUAAAGUGCUUUCGAAGAGUCGAGUUGUUUGGGAAUGCAGCUCUAAGUGGGUGGUAAAUUCCAUCUAAAGCUAAAUAUUGGCGAGAGACCGAUAGCGAACAAGUACAGUGAUGGAAAGAUGAAAAGAACUUUGAAAAGAGAGUGAAAAAGUACGUGAAAUUGUUGAAAGGGAAGGGCUUGAGAUCAGACUUGGUAUUUUGCGAUCCUUUCCUUCUUGGUUGGGUUCCUCGCAGCUUACUGGGCCAGCAUCGGUUUGGAUGGUAGGAUAAUGACUAAGGAAUGUGGCUCUACUUCGGUGGAGUGUUAUAGCCUUGGUUGAUACUGCCUGUCUAGACCGAGGACUGCGUCUUUUGACUAGGAUGU